UACGGGGGGGGCAAGCGUUGUUCGGAAUUACUGGGCGUAAAGAGCUUGUAGGCGGUUUGGCGCGUCUGCCGUGAAAAUCCGGGGCUCAACCCCGGACUUGCGGUGGGUACGGGCAGACUAGAGUGUGGUAGGGGAGACUGGAAUUCCUGGUGUAGCGGUGAAAUGCGCAGAUAUCAGGAGGAACACCGAUGGCGAAGGCAGGUCUCUGGGCCACUACUGACGCUGAGAAGCGAAAGCGUGGGGAGCGAACAGG
rnacentral:rRNA from 1 species